rnacentral:rRNA from 1 species
CGUGUAGGCGGCCUGUUAAGCUUGGUGUUAAAGGUGUCGGCUCAACCGACGUUGUGCGCUGGGAACUGGCAGGCUAGAGUUCUGGAGGGGGAGUUGGAAUUCCUGGUGUAGGGGUGAAAUCUGUAGAUAUCAGGAAGAACACCGGUGGCGAAGGCGAACUCCUGGCCAUGAACUGACGCUGAGGCGCGAAAGCGUGGGGAGCGAACA